rnacentral:rRNA from 1 species
UACGUAGGGUCCGAGCGUUGUCCGGAAUUACUGGGCGUAAAGAGCUCGUAGGUGGUUUGUCGCGUUGUUCGUGAAAACUCACAGCUCAACUGUGGGCGUGCGGGCGAUACGGGCAGACUAGAGUACUGCAGGGGAGACUGGAAUUCCUGGUGUAGCGGUGAAAAUGCGCAGAUAUCAGGAGGAACACCGAUGGCGAAGGCAGGUCUCUGGGCCGAUAUCGACGCUGAGGAGCGAAAGCGUGGGGGAGCGAACAGG